CACGUAGGGCGCGAGCGUUGUCCGGAAUUAUUGGGCGUAAAGAGCUCGUAGGCGGUUCGUCGCGUCGGCUGUGAAAACCCGGAGCUCAACUCCGGGCCUGCAGUCGAUACGGGCGGACUGGAGUUCGGCAGGGGAGACUGGAAUUCCUGGUGUAGCGGUGGAAUGCGCAGAUAUCAGGAGGAACACCGGUGGCGAAGGCGGGUCUCUGGGCAGUAACUGACGCUGAGGAGCGAAAGCGUGGGGAGCGAACAGG
rnacentral:rRNA from 1 species